rnacentral:lncRNA from 10 species
ACUGUGCCACGGGACCCUGGUCUUUGAAACCUUGGCGUGCGCGAGAAUUUCCCAGUGAGUUUGUUAAAAUGCAGAUUCCUCGGGUCUGCGUAGACAGACUGUGCCCCACGCUUUUCUAAGUCAGUUGUUUCUCGGGCUACCCUUUAAGAGACACUGCUGGAUGGCCUGGUGAAGAAAAUACAGAAACAGAUGGGUACAAGAACUAAGAAAACGGCUAAGAAAGUGUUUUGGUCCUGACUACUACCAUUUCGCUCUGUGAUUUGGGGCAAUUCACAUUGCCCUUUCUUCUUUGUCAAAAGACAAAAUCACAACAAACUUAGUUCAAAGAUUUUUUUUUUCUUAAGAGACGGACUCUGGCAAUGUUGCCCAGGCUGGAAGGCAGUGGCUAUUCACAGGUGCGGUCAUAGCAAUCAUGGCUAUCACAGGUGCAUCCUGGAACUCCUGGCCUCAAGUGAUCCUUCUGCCUCAGCCUCCGGAGUAGCUGGGACUUAAGGUAUGACAGAGCCAAAACUCCAAGUCAUGUCAGUAGGGCAUGCCCAAUAGAAAAUGCUUUGACAUCUAACAACACCCAGAACCAAUGAUUCCUCCCUGUGGUACCAAGAAGACCUAGACAUGAUCGGAACCUAAAUGCUGGAACUCUUUCAGGAGCAAAGGGUCUGUUGACCAGAAAGAUCCAGGGGUAAAAUCCACCUCAACAUACCCGUGUAGUCAAAUUUGACACCCUCCAAUCAGACCCUGCCAAGCCAAAAUUCCUAAUACGUUUCCUUGCCAUCUGUAUUAGUCUGUUUUCACGCUGCUGACAAAGACAUA